GUGUGGUGUGUUCUUAAUUCUAGCUGAUGUGAACGUGGCUCUCCCCCCAACUUGGCUAUUAGCAUCACUUAUCCACUCGACUAUAAAGAUCCAACUUGGCUAAUUAUCUUUCUCAGAAAUUCCUACGAAAUGAAAACAAACAAAAAAAAGUUUUAUAAGCUGGGUUGCCUUCCAACAAGCACUAAAUUUAACAUUUUCAGUCG
rnacentral:lncRNA from 1 species